rnacentral:rRNA from 1 species
AGUUAUUUGAAUAUAUAAAUAAUAACGCCUGCUCAAUGAAAUUUAAAUAGCCGCGGUAUUUAUGACUGUGCAAAGGUAGCAUAAUCAUUUGUCUUAUAAAUUAAGACUUGAAUGAAUGGUAUUAUGAAUUAAAACUUUUUUAUAUAAAAAAAUAAAAUUAAUUUUUUUAGUGAAGAAACUAAAAUAUUGAUGUAAGACGAGAAGACCCUAUAAGUUUUAUAUAUACUGUAUAUUUUAUUGGGGUAAUAAAAGAAAAAUGUUUCUUUAAAAAUAUUUAAUGAUAAUUUUUGAUCUUAUAAUAUAAAUUAGAAGAAAAAUUACUUUAGGGAUAACAGCAUAAUAUUUUUUGAGAGCUCUUAUCGACAAAAAUGUUUGUGACCUCGAUGUUGGAUUAAAAAAGUUAUAUAAGUGAAGAUAUUAUAAUAAUUAGUCUGUUCGACUAUUAAAAUUUUACA